rnacentral:lncRNA from 1 species
UUGAAGAACUAAAGAAUGAAAUGGAAGUGACGAAAAAAAUGGAAGAGAUGCGUCCCUAUUUAUAGAAAAUGGGGAUCGUCAGAUUUGCGCUAAGUGGCAAAAUCUUGUGAGGAGAGAGAAAGUUGAUGUGAAAAGAGUGAUGUUAUGCGACGCGAUAGCGGCACAAAAAAUAGAGGAAGAACCUCUCAACCGGCCGUGACACACUGCCCAUGGCCGCUGAUAACGCUCAAGGGGCAGCAACACACUGCCCGAGGCAGCAGCAUGCCUCCCCAAGUCGGUCGCGCGUUGCAAGUCUAGCAUACAGGCGUGCCGACCUAUCCUGCCCCUCGCAGGCCUACUGCUAAUGGUGCGCG